GACGAACGCUGGCGGCGUGCUUAACACAUGCAAGUCGAACGGAAAGGCCCUGCUUUUGUGGGGUGCUCGAGUGGCGAACGGGUGAGUAACACGUGAGUAACCUGCCCUUGACUUUGGGAUAACUUCAGGAAACUGGGCCUAUACCGGAUAGGAGCUUCUGCUGCCAGGUGGGGGUUGGAAAGUUUCGGCGGUUGGGGAUGGACUCGCGGCUUAUCAGCUUGUUGGUGGGGUAGUGGCUUACCAAGGCUUUGACGGGUAGCCGGCCUGAGAGGGUGACCGGCCACAUUGGGACUGAGAUACGGCCCAGACUCCUACGGGAGGCAGCAGUGGGGAAUAUUGCACAAUGGGCGGAAGCCUGAUGCAGCAACGCCGCGUGCGGGAUGACGGCCUUCGGGUUGUAAACCGCUUUCGCCUGUGACGAAGCGUGAGUGACGGUAAUGGGUAAAGAAGCACCGGCUAACUACGUG
rnacentral:rRNA from 1 species